AGAGUUUGAUCCUGGCUCAGAACGAACGCUGGCGGCGUGCUUAACACAUGCAAGUCGAACGUGAUCAGGCCUUCGGGCCUGUGAAAGUGGCGCACGGGUGAGUAACACGUGGAUAAUCUACCCGAUGAUCCGGGAUAACAUUCCGAAAGGAGUGCUAAUACCGGAUAAGCCCACAAGCUCUUCGGAGCUUGCGGGAAAAGGGGGGGACCUUGACCGGCCUCCUGUCAUCGGAUGAGUCCGCGGCCCAUUAGCUAGUUGGUAGGGUAAUGGCCUACCAAGGCUACGAUGGGUAGCUGGUCUGAGAGGAUGAUCAGCCACGCUGGAACUGAGACACGGUCCAGACUCCUACGGGAGGCAGCAGUGGGGAAUUUUGCGCAAUGGGGGAAACCCUGACGCAGCAACGCCGCGUGAGUGAUGAAGGCUUUCGGGUCGUAAAGCUCUGUCAGAGGGGAAGAAAUGAGACUGGCUAAUAUCCAGUUUUCUUGACGGUACCCUCAAAGGAAGCACCGGCUAACUCCGUGCCAGCAGCCGCGGUAA
rnacentral:rRNA from 1 species